GGACUACUGGGGUAUCUAAUCCUGUUUGCUCCCCACGCUGUCGCGCCUCAGCGUCAGCUACUGCCCAGCAGGCCGCCUUCGCCACCGGUGUUCUUCCGGAUCUCUACGCAUUCCACCGCUACACCCGGAAUUCCGCCUGCCUCUACAGUGCUCCAGCCACGGGAGUCUCGCUGGCCGACGCGGAGUUGAGCCCCGCGCUUUCACCACCGACUUCCCGGGCCGCCUACGCGCCCUUUACGCCCAAUGAUUCCGGACAACGCUCGCACCCUCCGUAUUACCGCGGCGGCUGGCAC
rnacentral:rRNA from 1 species